UACGGAGGGUGCAAACGUUGCUCGGAAUCAUUGGGCGUAAAGCGCACGUAGGUGGCCUGUUAAGUCGGGUGUGAAAUCCCUGGGCUCAACCCAGGAAGUGCACUCGAAACUGGCGGGCUUGAGUACUGAAGAGGGUCGCGGAAUUCCCGGUGUAGAGGUGAAAUUCGUAGAUAUCGGGAGGAACACCAGUGGCGAAGGCGACUACCUGGCCUGUUCUUGACGCUGAGGCGCGAAAGCUAGGGGAGCAAACGGG
rnacentral:rRNA from 1 species